AUGUCAUAUUUACAACAUAAUAGUCCGAAUAUAUACCAAUGGAUAAUACAAAUCCGUAUACAACAAGCUCUACAAAAAAUAUCCGAAUCUUCACAAGCUCCAAAAGCUAGCAUCAACAAGAGAAAGUGUCAGAAAUAUAGCACAACAAGUGCAAGCAAGCGUAUCCAUCUUUGGAGCGGUCAAUGUCCGAACUCACUUUUCAAGGCAUGCACAACUCACCAAAAUUGUUAG